rnacentral:rRNA from 1 species
UCCGUAGGGGGCAAGCGUUGUCCGGAAUCAUUGGGCGUAAAGAGCGUGUAGGCGGCCCGAUAAGUCCGCCGUGAAAGUCCAGGGCUCAACCCUGGAAUGCCGGUGGAAACUGUCGGGCUGGAGUCCGGAAGAGGCGAGUGGAAUUCCUGGUGUAGCGGUGAAAUGCGCAGAUAUCAGGAGGAACACCGGUGGCGAAGGCGGGAUCCUGGGCCAGUACUGACGCUGAGGAGCGAAAGCGUGGGGAGCAAACAGG